GUGAAUCAUCAAAUUUUUGAACGCAAAUUGCACUAUCUUCUGAUAGGAUGCCUGUUUGAGUUUCAGCCUAAGAAAAAUCGACAUAUUCUCUGUUUCGCGUUUACAUUCGUCGGAAAUUAGGUCAUCUUAAACCUUUUGUUUUUAAGCGUCUUAAAAUUUUCUUUACUAUUCCACGUACGUUUCUAAGAGUUACUUACACGUUUAAUGUAUCGAUUUUUAUUAUACGUGUUCAUUGCAUCGGUUUACGUCCAUAAAUAGUGCUUUAACGACCCU
rnacentral:misc_RNA from 1 species